rnacentral:tRNA from 1 species
AUUUAUAUAGUUUAAAAUAAAACAUUAUAUUUUCAAUAUAAAAAUAAAAUUUUAUAUUUUUAUGAAUA